rnacentral:rRNA from 1 species
GAUUCUGGCUCAGGAUGAACGCUAGCUACAGGCUUAACACAUGCAAGUCGAGGGGCAGCAUAACGAAAGCUUGCUUUGUGAUGGCGACCGGCGCACGGGUGAGUAACGCGUAUCCAACCUUCCCCUUAGUAGGGCAUAGCCCGUAGAAAUGCGGAUUAAUACCCUAUGUUCUUCGAAGCGGUCAUCCAAGUUUGAAGCAAAGAUUCAUCGCUAAGGGAUGGGGAUGCGUCCGAUUAGGUUGUUGGCGGGGUAACGGCCCACCAAGCCAUCGAUCGGUAGGGGUUCUGAGAGGAAGGUCCCCCACAUUGGAACUGAGACACGGUCCAAACUCCUACGGGAGGCAGCAGUGAGGAAUAUUGGUCAAUGGACGAGAGUCUGAACCAGCCAAAAGUAGCGUGCAGGACGACGGCCCUAUGGGUUGUAAACUGCUUUUAUACAGGGAUAAAGUCGGGGACGUGUCCCCGUUUGUAGGUACUGUAUGAAUAAGGACCGGCUAAUUCCGUGCCAGCCGCAGC